rnacentral:rRNA from 1 species
CCUACGGGUGGCAGCAGUGAGGAAUAUUGGUCAAUGGCAGAGAUCCUGAACCAGCCAAGCCGCGUGAGGGAAGACGGUCCUAUGGGUUGUAAACCUCUUUUGUCGGAGAACAAAACCCCGGACGUGUCUCGGUCUGUGUGUACCCGAAGAAAAAGCAUCGGCUAACUCCGUGCCAGCAGCCGCGGUAAUACGGAGGAUGCGAGCGUUAUCCGGAUUUAUUGGGUUUAAGGGGUGCGUAGGCGGUCCGUUAAGUCAGCGGUAAAAUUGCGGAGCUCAACCCCGUCGAGCCGUUGAAACUGGCGAACUUGAGUGGGCGAGAAGUACGCGGAAUGCGCGGUGUAGCGGUGAAAUGCAUAGAUAUCACGCAGAACUCCGAUUGCGAAGGCAGCAUACCGGCGCCAGACUGACGCUGAGGCACGAAAGCGUGGGGAUCGAACAGGAUUAGAUACCCGGGUAGUC